GGGGGCCCGCAAGCGGUGGAGCAUGUGGUUCAAUUCGACGCAACGCGAAGAACCUUACCUGGGCUCGAAAUGCAGGAGACCGGGGUAGAAAUAUCCUUUCCCCGCAAGGGGCUGCUGUAUAGGUGCUGCAUGGCUGUCGUCAGCUCGUGUCGUGAGAUGCUGGGUUAAGUCCCGCAACGAGCGCAACCCUCAUCCCUAGUUGCCACCGGGUAAUGCCGAGCACUCUAGUGAAACCGCCCCGGAUAACGGGGAGGAAGGUGGGGAUGACGUCAAGUCCUCAUGGCCUUUAUGUCCAGGGCUACACACGUGCUACAAUGGUCGGUACAAACCGUCGCAAAGCCGCAAGGUGGAGCUAAUCGGAAAAAGCCGGCCUCAGUUCGGAUUGGAGUCUGCAACUCGACUCCAUGAAGCUGGAAUCGCUAGUAAUCGCAGAUCAGAACGCUGCGGUGAAUACGUUCCCGGGCCUUGUACACACC
rnacentral:rRNA from 1 species